GUUGUUUGUUGACAGUAUAGAUGGUUUGUUUUUAAACCUCUUACCACUCACAGAGUCCCCGGUGACGGUCUAGCUAUGUCAGAUGCCAGUCAUUUAAGAGACUAAUCAUUUUUUGGAAUUUAAAUUAUGCUAACUCACUUUGUCCAACACAGCCCAGAUUAACAUUAAAAAUAAAAUAUAUUAAAACUAAUUUUGUUGGACGCAAGAAAAACUGGAGCAUCUUUGUAGGGAGCCGAACUAGGGCUUACAAGUUUUGCAGUGCCUUUGCAGUGACUUUGCUAUCUGCACAGAGCGUUUCUGGUGUGGCUUAUGCAAAAGAGAAUUGCAACAAUACAGCGUGUUUCUCUGCUCCCUUUCACACACCAUGGGUUGAGCCAGCCCUGCAAACCCUGUGGAUGGACGAUGCAGUGGACAGUGGGAGGAAGCAUCCUAAAGCUCUCUUUGCAGACCAGCCUGUGUGAUUCUCCACUCGCCGACCAGAAAAGACAAACGGCAGGUCUAAGUUGCAGCACCUCAUCCAUCCAUGUCUGAUCUUGCAUCGGCAGAUUCAGCAACACAGCCAGAGACUUCCUGUAAUCUAUUACAGUUGUUAAAAAAACGGUCCAGGAACAGGUCACUCAGGUUAA